rnacentral:lncRNA from 1 species
ACAGCUAUAAAGAUCUAGAUAACGAAUACAUUUUGCAAUUGUUGGGAAAAAAAGGCAGUAAAUUGAAUUACUUUGCAAUCUACAUUUCUCAUAGCAAAUUCAAUAAGCCCUGACACAUUUUUUGAUAAUACAGAAAUGAAAAGUUGAUGGACAAAAGAAUUUCACUCCGCCGUGGAGGGAGAGGCGGUGGUUGAAGUUGCCAUCGACGAGGGGGGCCUUUGCUGCUUACAUCAUGUGUGACUACUACUUCAAUCGCCUUUAUCUCUUCAAUCGCUCUCUGUCCAAAUUUUGGUAUGGGGACUGUUAAAUUGCUAAAAGGAGGAGAGAUGAGGCUGAAACUUCAUCUUACGUACAAAGCAACCAAGUCUUUUACAAAAGACAAAAUACAUAACGUAAAACACAACAUAACUACCCAUGUUCUCCAUAAAACACUUGCCCCACUAACACCUAAAAACUAGGAUAACCAACACACAUGACUCCACUAACUCUAAUAACUAAAAAACCAAAUCAGCAACAUGUGAAAAAGAAAAUAACUAUUUUAUCAACAAUCCCUCCCUUAAACUGAUGUUUGCUAACAUUCAGUUUAAAG